UUCAUUGCUUUGGUGGGCAGUGGGGCAAAGCUUCAAAGCAGAUCAGCUGUGUCAUGUUGCUAGAACCUCAGAUGUGUUCACUUACAAGUGGUAAAUGGGCUUAAGUCUCCUGGAAUAAAAUCACCAAGCAUACUGAGAGAUGCUUUGUCUACUGCUGAAAUGCAUUGCAGUGGAAUUUAGAAUGAAAAUUUGGAAUGAAAAUAUGUAAAUCUUCUUUGGUUAAAGAUUGCUACUCAUCCUAACAGUUACCAGGUUUGUGUGAAACUGAAUCCACAAUGAAGAACUGAGACACUUUUUACUGGGCA